rnacentral:rRNA from 1 species
UACGUAGGAUGCAAGCGUUGUCCGGAAUUAUUGGGCGUAAAGAGCGCGCAGGCGGUAUGACAAGUCAGAUGUGAAAGAGGCCGGCUUAACCGGCAAGGGUCAUUUGAAACUGUCAGACUAGAGUGCAGCAGAGGAUAGUGGAAUUCCCGGUGUAGUGGUGAAAUGCGUAGAUAUCGGGAGGAACACCCAUGGCGAAGGCAGCAAGCUGGGCGACGAC